rnacentral:lncRNA from 1 species
GAAGAUCAAAUAUUCAUUUGGAAUGACAAAGACUCAACUUCUAUGAAUUAUCUGAUACCAAAUUCUUUUUGAACAUAACCCGGGGACUUGCUUUUCUACGUGACAACAAGCCUGAACCUAUUGUUCAUCCUUCGAUUGGAACCAGGGAACAUUUUGUCAGCUAGGAGCUAAACAAGAUUGGCGAUGUUGGACGUCUCCUGUCCUGUUGUGCCUGAUGGUUGCAUCGUGUGCAAAAGAAACUAUUCUUCCUGGUACAUCUUAUGACAUGGAUCCUGGAUAGCAAGGAACUGGCAGUGUUUGUCCCAGCAAGCUCACUGACAGGGCUUACCCAAUGGCCCGA